GGCUACUCUCUCAUUGUCAUGUUCUGGCAAACUCUCCUGGUCUCUCCAUACCUUCUUCUUGUGAUGCUCUGUUUCUCCAUUUGGUCUGUUUAUGGGACCCCCUGACUUAGGUUGGAGGUCCUUCCUUAUUCUCUUAUGCCCAGCUAACUCUCUGAUCAGAUCUUUAUUAGGCAAUCAGAGGUGAUGGAGAAGAAUGUUUAUGAAAAAUGUUGAUACUGGGGGUGCUUCAUAAAAAUAACAAUACCAAAUUCUAGCCUGUAUUCAACUCUCUGCAGGUACAGAAAUACACACUUGAAUAACACAAAGACAACCUUUACACAGCACACAAAACCAUCCCCCAACAUGACCCCUGUGUAGUUUGUGACAGAUUGACAACCACUGCUUUUGGGUGUUUUUCAUGGUCCUCAUCUUCCUUUGAGACAUGUUCUAAAAGCCCUGCUUGUUGCAGUGCCCCAAGGUAUGGCUCAGAUACAGUUGGAGGCCUAAUGGCCAGCACAUACUAGACACUAGUAAAUUGUGUUUCUUAUAAGUAUCAGAGAUGAAGAUGAAGGGAGAAAAGAAAGACAAUUGUGACCAUAGAUGAGCUAAUCAUGGUGCUAAGAAAACUGACGUAUUUGUAUCAAUUAUGAACUGACCAGCUUCCUAGUUAAACUUCUAUUAUUAAUGCUGGGAAAACGGAAGAAGCCAUGGGGUAGAUACCAGAACGGUUUAUAUCUUCCAUCACUGCAGACUUCUAUUACCAUUUUGAUGACAGCUUUAUGUUUUGAAAUGUUUUUGUUUGCCUAAUUGAUUUUAUUACAGUUUAAUUCAUUUUGUGUUUUCUUUUUUGCCUUUUUUCGCCAUUCAUUAAUGUAUUUAUUCACUUUGCAGCCUGAUUACAGACCCCCUCCCAGUCUGACCCUUACAGAUCCCUCUCCUGAUUAUGCCUUGCCCUUCUUCUCAGAGAAGGGGAGCCCCCUUGAGAACUAUCCAGCCCUGGGACAUCUAGGGUUGAGCAUGGGACUGAGCAUGUCCUCUCCCUCUCAGACACAACAGGCAGCCCAGUUAAGACAAGGGGAUCAACUGGCAGGCAACAGAAUCAAGAGACAGCCUCCAACCUCAUGAAGUUCAACCUGCACGUCUGCUACACAUGUGUAGGGAGCCUAGGUCCAGUUCCUGCGUGCUCUUUGGUUGGUGGCUCAGUCUUUGUGAGCCCCAGGUUUGUUGACUUUGUGAGUCUUCUUGUGGUGUCCUUAAUCCCGUCUGCUUGCUCACUUCUAUCCCUUCCUCUUCCACGAGACUUUCUGAGCUCCAUCUGAUAUUUGGCUGCCUCUGCUGCUGGAUGAAGCUUCUCAGGAGACAGUUAUGCUAGGUUUCUUGUUUGCAAGUGUAGCAGAGUAUCAUUAAUAGUGUUGGCUCUCUCCUAUUAGAUGGGUCUCAAGUUGGUCUAGUCAUUGAUUGACCAGGCAUUCAGUUUCUGUUUCCUCUUUUUCCCUGCACAUCUUGUACAGGGACAGAUUUUGUGUUGAAGGUCUUAUGGGUAGGUUGAUAUCCCUGUUCCUCUACUGGAAGCACAAGGCUGUCUUCCUGAUACUUGCUACACCAGGAACAUCCAGGGACAACCACAUGAUUAAAAGCCAGUGUAAGAAGAGAAUCAACUAAAGCCAGGGCCAUAUGACACCUUCAGAGCACAGCUAUCCUACUACAGCAAGCCCUGUCUAUCCUAACAUAGACAAAGCACAAGGAAAUGACCUUAAAUCCAAUCUUAUAAGAGGAUAGAGGCCUUUGAGGAGGAAGUGAAUAAAUUCCUUAAGAAAUACAGGAAAAUGCAAUUAAAUAGGUGAAGGAGAUGAAUAAGACUGUUCAAGUUCUGAAGAUAGAAAAUAAAAGCAAUAAAACACAAACACAAAGAAUUGUGGAGAUGGAAACCUAGGGAAGAGAACAGGAACAACAGAUGAAAGCAUCAUCAACAGAAUAAUUAGAGUUGGAAGAGAGAAUCUCAGGUGUAGAAGCCAUGAUAGAAGAAAUUGAUACAUCAGCCAAAGAAAAUGUUCAACCUAAAAAACAUCCUGACACAAAACAUUCAGGAAAUCUGGGGUAUCAUGAAAAGACCUAUCCUAAGAAUCAUAGGAGUAGAAGAAGGCCAAAAAGUCCCAACUCCAAAACCCAGAAGCUAUUUUCAAGAAAAUCAUAGAAGAAAAAUUUUCAACCUAAAGAAAAAAAUGCCUAUAAAUAUACAUGGAGCUUACAGAACACCAAUUAUAUUGGAUGAGAAAAGAAAAUCCACUCACCACAAAAUAAUCAAAACACUAAAUUUAUAC
rnacentral:lncRNA from 1 species